rnacentral:snRNA from 1 species
GUGCUCGCUUCGGCAGCACAUAUACUAAAAUUGGAACGAUACAGAGAAGAUUAGCAUGGAAGAAAACUUAAUAUGAUUGAUUGUGUAGGGGUUU